rnacentral:rRNA from 1 species
UACGGAGGGAGCUAGCGUUGUUCGGAAUUACUGGGCGUAAAGAGCGCGCAGGCGGCUGGUCAAGUCCGAUGUGAAAUCUCCCGGCUUAACUGGGAAACUGCAUCGGAAACUGAUCGGCUUGAAGGUGGGAGAGGGUAGUGGAAUUCCCGGUGUAGUGGUGAAAUGCGUAGAUAUCUGGAGGAACACCGGUGGCGAAGGCGGCAUCCUGGACCGGUAUUGACGCUGAGGCGCGAAAGCCAGGGGAGCAAACGGG